rnacentral:rRNA from 1 species
UACGUAGGUGGCAAGCGUUAUCCGGAAUUAUUGGGCGUAAAGCGCGCGCAGGUGGUUUCUUAAGUCUGAUGUGAAAGCCCACGGCUCAACCGUGGAGGGUCAUUGGAAACUGGGAGACUUGAGUGCAGAAGAGGAAGUGGAAUUCCAUGUGUAGCGGUGAAAUGCGUAGAGAUAUGGAGGAACACCAGUGGCGAAGGCGACUUCUGGUCUGUAACUGACACUGAGGCGCGAAAGCGUGGGGAGCAAACAGG